AGAGUUUGAUCAUGGCUCAGAUUGAACGCUGGCGGCAGGCCUAACACAUGCAAGUCGAGCGGAUGAAGGGAGCUUGCUCCUGGAUUCAGCGGCGGACGGGUGAGUAAUGCCUAGGAAUCUGCCUGGUAGUGGGGGAUAACGUCCGGAAACGGGCGCUAAUACCGCAUACGUCCUGAGGGAGAAAGUGGGGGAUCUUCGGACCUCACGCUAUCAGAUGAGCCUAGGUCGGAUUAGCUAGUUGGUGGGGUAAAGGCCUACCAAGGCGACGAUCCGUAACUGGUCUGAGAGGAUGAUCAGUCACACUGGAACUGAGACACGGUCCAGACUCCUACGGGAGGCAGCAGUGGGGAAUAUUGGACAAUGGGCGAAAGCCUGAUCCAGCCAUGCCGCGUGUGUGAAGAAGGUCUUCGGAUUGUAAAGCACUUUAAGUUGGGAGGAAGGGCAGUAAGUUAAUACCUUGCUGUUUUGACGUUACCAACAGAAUAAGCACCGGCUAACUUCGUGCCAGCAGCCGCGGUAAUACGAAGGGUGCAAGCGUUAAUCGGAAUUACUGGGCGUAAAGCGCGCGUAGGUGGUUCAGCAAGUUGGAUGUGAAAUCCCCGGGCUCAACCUGGGAACUGCAUCCAAAACUACUGAGCUAGAGUACGGUAGAGGGUGGUGGAAUUUCCUGUGUAGCGGUGAAAUGCGUAGAUAUAGGAAGGAACACCAGUGGCGAAGGCGACCACCUGGACUGAUACUGACACUGAGGUGCGAAAGCGUGGGGAGCAAACAGGAUUAGAUACCCUGGUAGUCCACGCCGUAAACGAUGUCGACUAGCCGUUGGGAUCCUUGAGAUCUUAGUGGCGCAGCUAACGCGAUAAGUCGACCGCCUGGGGAGUACGGCCGCAAGGUUAACACUCAAAUGAAUUGACGGGGGCCCGCACAAGCGGUGGAGCAUGUGGUUUAAUUCGAAGCAACGCGAAGAACCUUACCUGGCCUUGACAUGCUGAGAACUUUCCAGAGAUGGAUUGGUGCCUUCGGGAACUCAGACACAGGUGCUGCAUGGCUGUCGUCAGCUUGUGUCGUGAGAUGUUGGGUUAAGUCCCGUAACGAGCGCAACCCUUGUCCUUAGUUACCAGCACCUCGGGUGGGCACUCUAAGGAGACUGCCGGUGACAAACCGGAGGAAGGUGGGGAUGACGUCAAGUCAUCAUGGCCCCUUACGGCCAGGGCUACACACGUGCUACAAUGGUCGGUACAAAGGGUUGCCAAGCCGCGAGGUGGAGCUAAUCCCAUAAAACUGAUCGUAGUCCGGAUCGCAGUCUGCAACACGACUGCGUGAAGUCGGAAUCGCUAGUAAUCGUGAAUCAGAAUGUCACGGUGAAUACGUUCCCGGGCCUUGUACACACCGCCCGUCACACCAUGGGAGUGGGUUGCUCCAGAAGUAGCUAGUCUAACCGCAAGGGGGACGGUUACCACGGAGUGAUUCAUGACUGGGGUGAAGUCGUAACAAGGUA
rnacentral:rRNA from 1 species